UGGGAAGUGAUGAUACUUGACUCCUGACAGUGCUCUGAUUUCUCACUGUAUUCGUACUGGCUGAUCCCG
ensembl:snoRNA SNORD41 small nucleolar RNA, C/D box 41